rnacentral:tRNA from 1 species
GCCUAGUUAGCUUAGUUGGUAGUGCGUCUGCCUUGUAAGCGCUAGGCCGCGGGUUCGAUUCCCGCAGUGCGUC